GAGAGUAUAGCUCAGUGGUAGAGUGUGUGCUUAGCAUGCACAAAGUCCUGGGUUCAGUCCCCACUACCUCCA
rnacentral:tRNA from 1 species